GAAGUCUGGGUCUUGGAUCUGGAACAAUGGUCCUGGUCUAAACCACCAAUAUCUGGCCCGUCUCCCCAUCCACGAGGAGGCCAGUCACAGAUUGUGAUUGACGAUCACACGUUGCUAAUCUUGGGAGGGUGUGGUGGCCCAAAUGCACUUUUAAGGAUGCCUGGCUCCUCCAUAUGGAUGCACUUCCUUGGAGGUGGCAACAGUUACAUGUGGAAAAUGAGGACCAUGGGGCCCCAGACUUUGGUGUCACCCAGCGUGUCGGGUGGGUCAGUGUGUGGUGGUUUUCUCACAAGCUCCAUCUGGCCGUGCACCGCUCAGCCCUAGUCUUAACUCUCGGCCCUCCCCCAUAAGUGCCACACCCGCCCCUCUGGGCCCCGAACCGCCUUCUCUGCGCUCUCAGU